rnacentral:rRNA from 1 species
CACGGGGGGAGCAAGCGUUGUUCGGAAUCACUGGGCGUAAAGGGCGUGCAGGCGGUCAGGUAAGUGAGAUGUGAAAUGCCCCGGCUCACCCGGGGACCGGCAUCUCAUACUGCUUGGCUUGAGUACGGGAGAGGAUGUGGGAAUUCCUGGUGUAGCGGUGAAAUGCGUAGAUAUCAGGAGGAACACCAAUGGCGAAGGCAGCUCGCUGGAACGGUACUGACGCUGAGACGCGAAAGCGUGGGGAGCGAACAGG